rnacentral:tRNA from 1 species
GGGGCUGGGGCUCAGCGGUAGAGCACUCACCUAGCAUGUGUGAGGCCCUGGAUUCAAUCCUCAGCACCA